UAACAAGGUUUCCGUAGGUGAACCUGCGGAAGGAUCAUUACCCUUCUCUCGGGGGGCCGGACCCAGCAUUCAAGGCGUUUGCCCUGCUUGUUGACCCGCCCUGUCUGAAUAAACCCAUGUUUUUUACGCACCAUUUGUUUCCUCGGUGGGCUUGCCUGCCGAUAGGACAACCCAAUCAACCUUUUGUAAUUGCAGUCAGCGUCAGUACAACAUAAUAAUUACAACUUUCAACAACGGAUCUCUUGGUUCUGGCAUCGAUGAAGAACGCAGCGAAAUGCGAUAAGUAGUGUGAAUUGCAGAAUUCAGUGAAUCAUCGAAUCUUUGAACGCACAUUGCGCCCCUUGGUAUUCCAUGGGGCAUGCCUGUUCGAGCGUCAUUUGUACCCUCAAGCUCUGCUUGGUGUUGGGCGUUUGUCCCGCGUUUUCCGCGUGGACUCGCCUUAAAACAAUUGGCAGCCGGCAUGUUAGCCUGGAGCGCAGCACAUUUUGCGCCUCUUGUCUCUCUUGUUGGCACCCAUCAAGCCCAUUUAU
rnacentral:rRNA from 1 species